GGCGUCAUUGUGACCUUUUCUUGCUCUGUGCUGACUUUAUUCCUGCCUUGCCGUAGUUUCCUGCUUCAUCCCAUGCCAACUGCUUAAAGCCACCAGAGACUGCCAUUUUGAUGACAUCACUUCCUGUACACAAGGGCACAGCCAUUUUAAAGAGGCACUGAACAUGAAGCCGCAGCUCGUUUGUCACUCCGAGUAUUCAACAAUGCUACAAAUGUUCCUACACAAAAGUCUUCUCUGGACAGCCAGGUAAUACAAAGCACACACUACCACAUCUACAGGAGCCCACAUUGUCGUUGUCUCUCCUUCGACAAAUGGACAACAUUUUUAGGUAUUCGUGUGUGAUUUCAACAAGUGUCUGUACAGACGGAAGGAGAAACACGGGCAUGUCUGGAUGACUCACCUCCAUAUUUCCAGUGGUUAGCUCCGAGUUACGAAACCGCUUUAUUAUGAAGCUGGCUGUGGCACGUUCUUUCUAAAGUCACUUCCUGUGUUGGGCACGGUCUUUCUGGCGUCAUUUCCUCUCCGAACUCCAUUU